GUUUUCUUCGGAUAGCAAUAGCGCGGCAGCGUUCAGGACGUGGACUCGAUUUCCCGGCAGAUCCCGUGCGGUGCGGCCGCGUUGGGUAGCGGGGUGGGGAAGGAGGUGGCCGCGGCCGCCAUGUUGGUGGCGUGGGACGCUUAGCUCGGGAGGAGCGGUCGGGGAGCCGGGUUAAGAUGUCGGAAAAGGGGGAAGGGCGGUAGUUCUGUCUUGGUUUAAGGGACAAGAAAGAGCUUGUGCGAGCGGUUGAGGAAGAAGGGGGAGGCUGAGGAGGAGUAGCCGGAGGGCCGCGGCGGGUAGGGAGGGGGGCUCUGAAGGACACGGCCGAUUGUCACUCGGUGAUUGCUGGUUCUGGGUGGGGCAGCGCUUCUCUGUGGUGGGAGCGGGGCCGUGGGGUGCGAGUCUGUCCCGGGACUUGGAGGGGCCCGUCCGGCUGCGGUGGGAGUGUGGCAGGAGCGGGCGGCGUGGCCUUGCAGCGACGGCCGGUCAUGGCUGCCGGGGCGUGUGGGCGCUGGGGCGGUGCUGGGUGCGAACGGGGAGGCCGCUCUGUGGCGCAGGAGCUGGGGCGGGUCCGGUGGCUCUCGGGGCUGUGGCCCCCCGCUCUCCUCCUCCGGGGAGAGGGGCCCGGCGGGGCUGUACCAGCUCCGGUGUCUGGGCCUUGGACGAAGUACGGACUGCGGGUUAAAGAGCAGGGCUGGCCUUGGUGGGGUGGCCGUCAGCAGGGAGCAGACUGGGACAUGCCCUUGUCGUACGCCAGGUGACAGCCUGCGCUUCGCUGGUUUAAGUGGUUUUUUUAAGGGCUGUGGGUGGCUCUGUCUGAGGUCUGAUAAUUGCACUAAUGGUGUCUGGGUGUCAGAGACAUGCUUCUUGGUGUGACCAGCAGGAGGAGCUUUGCUUCCUUCUAAAGGCCUUAGUAUGUCUGGAAGAGGGUAGGUUUCGAUUAGAUACAAGGCAGAAAUUCUUUACUGUGAGGAUUGCCCAGAGAAGCUGUGGACACCCUAUCCCUGGAAGUGUUCAAGGCCGGGCUGAAUGGGGCACGGGGCAACUUGGUUUACUGGAAGGUGUCCCUGCCCAUGGCAGGGGAGGGUUAGAACCAGAUGAUCUUUGAGGUUACUUCUAGCCCAAAUGUAUAAUUCUAUGUCCAUAGACACAUAAAACAAGUUUGAAAAAGUUGAGAAGGCAGACGAGAUGGUAUAAGACAUCUCAGCGUGGUAUGGGAGCAGCCAAGCCAACUUGCUGCCCCCGUAUUUUACUUGUGCUUGCUGUCUCAGGUUGGCAUGGCUUAGCCACCUGACUAGGUGCUGUCUUAGUUUCAGCCCUCUGGCUGGCAUGGAGGAAGUAGGAUGCAAUUUUGAGCAAUGGUUUUAGGCUUUCUUGUACUGAAUGUUAUCCCUGCUUGUUCUAGUGUUUUGUGUUGGGGGAUGGGAAAUACAUGUUCACCAGAUGAGAGUAAUCUAAGCUCUGUGAGGCUUAAGGUGACUGGAGUUCCCUGAAACCAUGUGUGGAAGGCCUGUGCUCAAAACCCGAAGGGAAGAUGGUCAAAGUAUUGCGUAGCUUGUGAAAUAAUACCGUUUCUAGUUACAGCUGAUUCUUGUGAAAUAAAGCACUUUAUUAUGCCAGGAAGACACUUAAUUGAAAAGAGUCGUGAAGAGUUUUGCAGGCUUGCUUGAAGUCUUGGCUGCUACCACUGGUGUUACUGCUCAGGUAAAACGGAGAUACAAGGGUUUAUUUGAUACUUUGGCUCCUCCUGGAGGUAAGUACAAGGCAUUUGCUCAGGGUAUUGCUGCAGAAUAACUAUUGCUACACAAUAACUGAGAUGGCGUGUUUGCCCCAGGAUACAAAAGUGUUGGAGAAAGGAUGAUGUGAGAUAUUCUCUGGUGCAGUUACUUCCCCUGAACAUUGCAGCCUUUCAAGACUUGCUGGUACUACAGCAAUGUGUGCUGUUCUUUAUCACUUUAGAUGCAGCUCCCUUUAGUUAAAGGAGCUGAACUGGUUGCAUGCAGUCCUGCAAAUAGUCCAGUGUCCUGAGGGUGCUUCUCCUCACAGCCAGGUUCUCCUGUUUUAUCAUAUUCCUCUCUGAAGAAAAUGAAUGGUGAGGGUGUAAGGCUCUGUUAAUAAAAUUCAUAGCAUCAAUAGUUCCAUAUAUAUGGAGAAUUCUGAAUUAUAAGUACAGCCCCUCUUAUUUCUUUUCUAAUUCUGUUUCUUUUCUACGCAGAUACCUUUAGAUUAGGUGAACUGGGGGUGAAAUAAAGGGCACUGGAAUGAUGACUUGUCACAACAGUUGUUCACUGUAGACUUUAGGCCUAUGCUUUUUAUCUCUGCAGCUGAUACCUGGUAAGGCUGAUAAGUGUUGCAGUGGAAUAGUUGGGUCAAGCUUGGUUAUCUUUUCUAUAACUGCCAGAAAAAGUGCAUGUGAAAUCUUCAUCCAAGAUGGUCUGCUGGCCUAAUGGCAGUAUGUUCCCUUAAACUGGUUUAGAAACAAUUGGUUUUACCUGCAGUGUUCCCUUCACUCCCUCCCCAUUCCCCUGCAGUCAGUGCUGCCGCUCUGGGGGGGAUGCUGUGCGUCCCGCUUUACAGAUAAUUGUAUUUCAUUAUUUAUAUCUUCUUUAUCUGUAGAUGUAGAUGCCACUGAUGUCUCAGCUGAGGUAGGAAAAAGGAAACAAUUUCAGAAACUACUCAAAUGAACACCUGAUGCAAGAGAGAAGUAAAAGAGUUUUCUUUGUGUGUGUUGUUCACUUUGGUCAGUUUUGGGGGAUUUUAUACUUGCCAGUGUGUGGAUCGGCAGGUUGAUCACAACGUGUCAGAGAUGUUAAUGAUGAAAUCUGUGUUAAGUGUCUCAGACUUGGAUAAUCUGUUCACCUGAAAGUGCUACUGUCCAGAUCUAUCCUGACCCAACAGGCGUUAGUUGCAAUGUCUGUAAGAAGCUUCCAGUCCUAUUGAAGAAAUAAGUGGCGUGUCUGCAGUUCAUAUGAAGAGGUACAAGCUGACAGUAGCAUUGAAAACCCGCUUUGGCAUUUCUUAAAGAUUGGUGUGCUCUGCUUUAAUGCUGUUAAUGAAAACUUAGUCCAGUGUGUGUCUGGUCCUCAGCCUGUGAUGCUGAUGGGUUUGUGUGUACUUUACUAUGCUGACAUCCUACACUGCAAAACCUAUGGCUUCUCGUUGCUACUGAAGUGAUUCUGGUCACUGAACUCUGGUAAGCAACCACCCUUUUUGCUGACCUGAAGAAUCAGUUGAAAGAUCCCAAAGGAGGGAUGAGGAAGAUAAGUAGGAAUGUGUGAUGACUUUGCCUAAAGAAGAAAAUGCUCAGUCUAAGAAAUCUAAGUUCAUACAUAGAAACCUGUCUUUGUGUCUCAGCGCUCGUCCUGACAAGUUUCCUCUUAAAGAAACUUCAAGCAUUUGGAUGCUCUAAAUUGAGUACUUACUGGGUAGUAUAGAAAGCCAGGCUGCAUGAGAAACACAGAUUUUGAGAUGAAGUGUACAGAUAUAUCAUGUCAUUAGUUUUAAGAUGUGUGGUGAUAUAGGUCUGCUGUCACUGUCAAUGUCUGUGUCAGUGCAGCACAGAGAGCUGUUGGGGUUGUUUCAGUUCUUGGAAAUUUCCUACCAGGCCUAAUGUCAGCCCUGGUAGGAAAAUUAACUGGAUGAAAAGAUUUGCAUGUGCUUUCAAACAGAAAGUAGAAUAUGGUUUCUAAGGGUGAUACCAUCUAUGCUAGUCUUGGCACAUAAAUUCUGUUUUAAUAUCGUGUUUUCUUAAUUACCCCAGCUCUAAAACUUAGUUGUCUGCAGUCCCCUUGGAGGAAGGAGUGGAAGUGUCACUGACCAACUGCUUAUUUCAAAGCCUAUGGGGGAAGGGGUGUAAAUUCUUUCACAUUAAAGUUACUGCUCAGAUGAUAGUGGAUGAAGAAGCUGUGAUGAAGGUUGGUUGAUUUUAGUUGUUUCCCAUUGAGCUGUUUGCCAAAAAGUUUCCGGAGCUGCAAGAGGAAAGGUGAGAGGAUGAGUUCAGCUGGGUGGAACAGCAAAAAGAAGAGUGCUGUAAGAGCAGUCAAGAGUCAACUUAGCACGGACAUGUUCUUCAACUGAGAGAUGGCAGCAGUUCAAUAGCAGUUACACAAAGGGAAAGGGUGUGCAGGCUGCUGCAAGUCCCUGUGUUCCUAAUAUCUGGUAUCUGAAAGAACUCAGUAGAGAGAAAAAGGUUGUUGCUUCCACAACUUCAAACCCUUUUGAGUUGAAAAGAGAGCUCAUCUAAUACUGAAACAGGAAACUGAUUUUAUUUUAGAUACUGGGGAAGAUAAUCACUAUGCAGAACUUAAAAGUGCUAGUCAGGACACUGAAAAACUGCAAGUAGCUCAAGUACAGGAGACUCAGAGACUCCAGUUGUGGGAAGCUGCCUUUUGGGAAGGUGCACUAGCAGUGGGGAGAACUUUCUAAACACAAGGAGAAUCAAAAGUUCUGCAGCUGUUAGCUACACAUGGAUGUAUCUCUUAAGGUGGGAUGCCCUGACAUGACCACUGAAGACCAUAAGGCUGUAGGCAGACCACAUUUCUUUUAAAAGGAUGUAUGCCACUGCCCAGCUCAGAACCACCCAAACAGCUUCAGUUUUUGUCAAAUACUCUUAGUUCCUGGAACAACAGCUUUUCUCAGUCCACCUAACUGCUGCAGAGCCAGCUGGCUGACUGCAGCUCUGCACUGAAGAUAAGCAUUCCCACCCCUGGAUUGCUGGAUAAUGGCACACAAACAUGGCUCAGGUGGGCUCCAGGGCUGAGCAUAAAUCUUCUGGCUGCCACUGUUCUGGCUUUAAUAUACACGAUGGGUGCCCCAAGCACUUCCAUGUAGAACAAGAAACACUUGGAGUGCAUAUUUACAUGUACUUUUGAGUGUGCACUGCCCUCUUCAGCACAAAGCUCGAUCAAACCCUGUAUUGCAUAAAGCAGUGGAGGUAUCACACUGAGGUUAUGCUUGGUGUGUACCUGACUCAGUUGCCACUAAUCCUGGGAAGGGCUAUUUUUGUUGUGAUGUGGUAAACCUGAGUUGGUAAUAGAUACUGCUCAGCUGAUGUGCUUAUCUGUGCCAGGAGAGCAGCCCAUGAGCUGACAUAUUCAAGCAUGGUACUAGCUUUUACUUCUUUCAACAUAAAAAAAAUUUAAAAGGUGGGAGGGGGAAGAGCAGAGGAUUUUUAAGAGUCACAUAAAUUCUACUGAAAUUAAAAGCUCACUAAGUACCUUUGUUGAAGGAAUACGUUUUGGGAAAUUACCUCCUUUGACAAAGGCAAUAUGAGCCUGUGGUUAUGGCAAGCUUCCAACACCAUUCCUUGACCCUUUUUUUUUUGUGAGGUUGUAGGGGAAAAGUGUUGGAUGUAGCGAGAGUGAAAGCCAUAACCAGAGGUUACAAUUUAAUUUUAACAACUAUAUUUUUAUGUGAAGUGAUGCACCAUUAUUAAUUUUCAAAGGCAGUCCUGCACCUAAACUGAUACACUGGAAUCCCUGGUCAUGUGUGCAGGUGUCUUUGGGUUCUUCAGCUGUUUGAGUGUAGUGGUGCAAAAUUGCACGUUGUUUCCUAUAUGAUUCAGCUUAAAACACAAGCUUGGGCAGUGUGAGUACCUAAACAACAGUAUUGCAGUCAGAGCAUUCCUCAGUGCACACAAACCAUUUCCUUCUGGGAAGUACUGCUGCACUGUGAAAAAGCAUGCAACUCCUAGGACCGCAGCAUUUGAUCAUGUUGCCUGUGCCACAGUUCCCUUGGUUUGCUCUCUUCCUUGCCUUGGACUCUUCAACGAAGCUUUUAGUUUUUCUGUACAUUACCACUGGUUGACUCUCUCAUUUUUUGAGUGGGGCUUUUUUUGCUGUUUCUUUGCAAAUGCCUCUUCCUGGAAAACUGGCAGCAACAGUAAGUAUCUCAGGUUCCUAGCCAAGUUUCCAGUCACAUGAUUUCACUUGCUCCAUUCUGUCAAGUUAUUUACUUGCAGUGUCCUAAGGAUGUAGUUUAGUGGACUGCUAGUGAGGAGCUAACCUUCAUGUCUUGGCUGCAGUCCCAUAGGUCAGGUUUACACAAAUCUGCUUCCUCAUGAAUUCAGUGGCUACUCUUGCAGCACUUGGUUUCCUGAUGCACAACUUUAUGAAAAAGAUAAUGUUACACUGCUCUUGCAGAGAUUUAAAGAUGGUCACGUUAGCGUUGGUCACUUUACCUGCUGAGUUGCAUGACCCAGAAUCAUUUCUGAACCUUGUUCUGCAUGCACAACACCUAGGGCUCACGAGGUGAGAAGGCUAUGUUCUUCAUGUCUUAAUAGGGCUGACAUGCCACAAUACAGGAAAGGUUUUUCAAAACCAGCAUAGAGAUGGUUGCUGAUGACUUAAGCAACCUUGCUCAAGGUAUCUUACCCUCGUGUUCUGGUGUCAUGCAUAUCAGUUACUUUGUUUCUAGUAGGGUCUCUUUGGGCAUGCAUUCCUAGGUGGUGUAUUGAGCUUCCUGCUUUGAGCUUUCAAAAAACGCAGUUGCACGAAGCAGCGGCAGCAGUGGCAUUGCCAGUUUAAGGAGUUUGGUGUUACCUUCUGCCCUUGCCUUCCCAUGCUGUAGUACACCAUUCCCUUUCACGCCAGUGCAACUACCUGGAGCGGCAUGCAGAGCUAUCGGUGUCUUAAUCAGGGUGUUAACACACACUCCCUGCCCUGGGUAUGCUUUUCUGUGGGUCAUGGUAGAAGCGGAGGAGGUUUGUAGUUCUGUGGCUUUAUGAAACCUGAGUUGGGUUUGUGACCUGGUUGAGAGCAUUUGCACCAUAGCACAAAAAACAGGUACCUGGGUGCAUGCCAGAAGUCAGAAGUCCGAAGUCCUUGGGCUUGUUGCUGAAGUGUCUGGCUCAUUAAAUCAUGCAUCUAAGGAUGUAGUUAAUUUUGUGGAAGAGGACCAGCAGUGUCCCUUGUGUACGUGGGUGCUUUUGUUAACUAUGUUUUUCUGUUUUAGGUCUCAUGACAGAGCCUUUUUGUGGUUUUGCUGUGUGUAGCCUUGUGACCAGGCAGCAGUAGCUCAAGAGUUGCUGCUGUCUGUAAGCAGCAUGAGAGAUUGUUCGGUGUAGUCCAGACAAAUCCUUGUGCAAACAGCGCUGGAGUAAGAUGUGGAACAGUUUUCUUUUAAGUUUGGGGUUGUUUUUUGUUUUGUUACCGAGACUACCAAUAUAUUUUCCUUUGAUGGAACUAAUUCUUACAUAUAGGGAGUUGCAUGUUACCCCUACACAUAUAGCCAAAUGUAAUUUUAUAAAUAAUGGCAAAGUAGAUCGGCAAAAGAGAGAACGAGGUACUAAAAUGUUUCACAUAUGAUAGGUGAAAAGCUAAUCUCAGUUUUCCCUAUCAACAUCUUUGCAGUGCUCCUGCUACCAGUGAAGGCUGCACUGCUGUGAACUCUUCUGUUCUGAUGAUGGUGAGUGUUACCCUCUGACGAGGACAAUGAGGUGGCAGCUGUUUAAGAGAGAUGUGGUGGCUUCACCGUACAUGUGCUGCCUCAGUGGAUGCCAGCUAAGAGAGUAAUUGCGUCCCCCAAGAAUUAGAUUGUUGCUGCUGUUAACUUUUCUGGAGAAACAAACAUGAAGUAGAGGCAGGUGCAAUCCUCACAUGAGUUGGCAGCCAGGUGGGUGCGGUGCAUCACCAGGGAUGAAGGGCAGUCACACUUCACUAAGUCAUAGCAUUGAGGUCCAUUUGGCCGCUUGAAAAUUCCUGCCCACAGAAAGCUCCUCUCAUCUCCAGGGCAGAUUGUGACUGGAGCAACUGCUGUCCCAGUGCUACCUCCUGGAAACACAGGGGUGAUGAAAUGGAGUUUAUUUUACUAGGUCAAAUGAGAAUAAAUGAAUAUUCUUCAUUAUAAAUAUUUAUACAAUAGUAAUUAAUACAUAUUUUUUUAGUGUAAAUUGUUUACAUAUCUGGAAAUCUAGGCAUAUAUGUAUAUAAAAUGUAUAUUUUAAAUACAUUUGUAUACAUUGUUUUAUGUAUUAUUAAUUAAUAAUUUAGCAGUUUUUAAAAUAUAGAUUAGUAAAUUGGGAGAAUCAUGGAAGAGGAGAGGAGCUUUGUGUUGUUGGCAGAUUCAUGGGAUGGAGAAGCUAUUCCCUCUUGAUAACAAAUCAAACGCAAAUGUCUGGUCCCCAACAGAUACAGUUGGCGUGAACUAUUUUGUUAAAGUGUCUGCUCACAUCUGUCUUUUAAACUCUCAUCCUUGAGAGGGUGGAUUAACCUUGUCAUGAGUACUGAGGCAUGUGACAGGCUUGGCCAUGAAAGCAAGGAUGUGAGGGGUCUCUCACAAGUUUCUGUCAACACCUGAGUGAUGUGGCUCUCCGGGAUGGGUGGCAUUGCCACUGUUCAUUCUGAGUGGCAUUGCAGCCUCAUUCGCAUGGGUUUGAUGGUACCUCAGAUAUCCCAGCCUUUUGCUAUAGUCAGUUUUCUGCUACCUGAAGGUAAGUUUAGGUACAAAUCACAUCAGCCAAGAUCCUAGGUUUGGAAUAUGCCUGCCUCAGUCAUUCUCUCUGGUAUGAGUGGCCCUGCCUUUUGGGUACUGUCAAUUUAUCAUCUUAUUUCUCCCAAAGGAAACAUGCACCCUGAAUGCUCCCUGUGCUCUGGCAGUGCUUUAUGUGUGCAACCUCCAGGUAAUGUUCACCUCUGUGGAUGUAAGGGGAUAGCUAUCCCAGUCUUUCCUGAAUUUACUGCUCAGCAGUCAGUGACAUAGCAAGAAAAGCAAGGCAUUAUUUUGCUCACAUCCACCAUCCACAGAUGGCAUUUGGUUUUCAUCACCAUUUUGUUUCUAGCUAAUACGUAGGUGUGUGCCAACACACAGGUUUUCCCAACUCCCUUUUUUUUUUUUCUUUUCUACUUUUUCCUUGUCACCUAUACAUAGUACAUUGCACUCAGUGUUUAGUGUGUGAGAAACCCUAGGAUAAUUCCCUAUAGUAAUAAUUUGUUAGCUGUGGGGAGAUGGGGAUUUUGGUGGCUGCAGAAUUCUGCCUAUAGCAUCCCAUCAUUAUAAAGAAAAAAGUACGCUUGGAGGAAAGAGCCCUCCUUCUUGAAUCUGGGUGGGGAAAGAAAUGUAAUAACACUUCAAAAGUAGGCCAAAAGUGCUCUUCAUGUGCUGAGUUUCAUAUUUUUAACCUUUUCAUUUUAAAAUUUUAAAGUAGUACCUUCUAUUUCGUAAACUGAUUACACCUGAAUAAAAACAGAUCUCUGUAGCCAAUUGCCUCAAAUACCUCCAGUACAGAAGUGGUGUUUUGCAGAUGCCCAGGGAAGAUGCAGACCCACUGUAUUGCUGGGAACCAACCUGUCACAGCUGAAAUACAAUAGUGCAAAAAGCCAUCAGCAGGCUGAGCAAACCCAGCCCUUUGUACUCGUUAUGUCUACGGUGUUCUGUCUGAAAGCUAUUAUCCCUUGGAAAGCUUGCUGACACAUUUUAACAAGGAGAAUCAAAGACUUAGCAGUACUUCUGUAGGGUUCCUCUAAUUCUAUGAUUCAUAAUCAUAGUCAACUACUGCUCCUUCUUUAAUAAGGAUUAUAUUGGAAGCCAUCCAUAGAUAAAUGCAACUUCUUGAUACAGUUUUAACUAUUCACCCAUUUUCAUAUGGCCUGAUUUUGACAUCAGCAGAUGUGUUCACACUUCUGAGUCCAAGAUACGUGGCUUUGUGUUAUUUCUUUAGAAAACAGUAAAGGACAUAAAAGAAGUGCUAAUUUUCAAAACAGAAACAUUAGAUUUGUAUUUUAUUUUAAAUAAAAUGAAUGCAUGCAGGUGGUUGUGCAAGUCAGUACAGGGCUUGUUUGGGCAGGGUUUGUGGUUUCCUAGCCCACCUGUUUUGCUUGCAGACUAGCAAAGAGAGCACGGUUUGUGUUAGCAGUCAUAAAUCCUGCUCAUGUCUUCUUCCAUGGCAGACUCCUAGGGACAUGGCUGUAAGGUGAAACCCGGUCUGGAUGUAGCUGUAAAGGGAGGGAGGGAACGGCAGAGCUCCCCGCUGCAGAACCCGAGGCACCCUGUAACGCGAACGGGCACAGAGAGGCCUCCCUCGGUCCCUCCCCCUCCCAGCUCCCCUCAGCUCCCCUGAGACACUGCUCAGGUCUUCAGGGUACCCGAACACUACGGGGUGCUGCAAAAUGCUCGUCGGGGGCGUUGAUCUCUGCUGGCUCUGAAACUGGAGAGGCUGCUGUUCGUGCUGGCCCACUGUAGCGGUGGGUGUCCACCAGCAGAGGGUGGCUCUAAGACCGUUUAUGUAUUGCUUUAAUGUUUAAACACCGUACAGUGUGAAUAUUGAGCGUGACGGCUGUAGUGCUUCCUUUAUUUCCUAAUACUUCAUCUUUAGUUAGUAAUUACAAGAAAAAAGUGUCUAGCAAAGAUUUUAGUUUCAGCUUUUCCUCACUGUUUUGUUUUUGGUUUUUUUUUUUCCUCUGGCAUUAUUCUUCCAGGUGAGACUAACCAAAUAUAGUCAAAUUUAGAAAGAUGGGUUUGAAAUAAUGUUGGUCUUGAUUGGGAACUACUUCUGCCUAGGAACAAAGUAUUUGAAAUAAAUAACUGCAUAAGUUGUCAA